rnacentral:lncRNA from 10 species
CUGGAAGGCAGGCCGAGCUGUGAAGGCCUUGAAUGGCAGGUGAGGUGAUGUCCGGCCUUCUCAGCACCACUCCCCUAGAGCUCCCAGCAGUCACCCAAGCCCCUCACUGGAUGGGCCGGGUGGUAAACACAGCUGCCUGAGUGAAUUAUAAUAAUCACCACCACAGCAAGCACAGAUGUUUUCGCUGUGGCCAGGCAGUGGUCUAAGCGCUUUGCAGUUCACUGCAUUUAAUCCUUCAGAGAUUAUGAAACUGAGGCAUGCACAGAUUAAAUAACCCUACUUACCUCCUUAAUCUCAUUUCAGCUCAUUGCAACCUUUAAAUAUCACCUAUAGGCUAAUGAAUGCCAAAUGUAUGUCUCCACCCUGGGUUUCUCCCCGAACUCCAGGCUCACAUAUGCACCUGCCUUCCUGCUCCUACCCAAUAGUCCCUCAUAUGCUACCUGUCCAAGCCCAGGCUCCUCAUGCUCCCCUCCCCAGCCCUUACCUCUAGACCUGCUGCACUCACAGCUGUCCCCUCCCUAGGAAGUGGGACUCUUCAGGACUCUUCCAGCCACUCAGGCCAACCUGGAGUCACCCUUACCUCUCUCCCUUGCACCCCACAGGCGAUGGGUUGGCAAAUCCUCCCAGCUCCCCGCACUUCCCAUGCACUACCCCACCCUAGCCCAGCCACCGUUGCCUCUCUCCAGCUCACCCUGGCAGUCUCUUGCUGAGCUUCCCUCCUCUCUCUCUGCCCCCGGAAGUCUAUUCCCAACACAGCAGCCCGGGUGAUCUGUUGAUCGUCAUUCCUUCCUCAUUGCCCUCUUCUUGCAGCCCUGUGUCACCCAGAGCGGAGCCCAAGUCCUAAUCCCCAAGUCAGCCCGCCCUCACUCUGCCUCCUUGCUCAGUCAAGCCAGACACAAUCCUGCCUCAGGGCCUUUGCACGGAGGCUCCCCCUCCUCGGGACACUCUCACCCAGAGAUCCUCUAGGUCUUUAUUCAAGUGUCGGCUCCUCCUAGGGCAUCACCCAGCCCCUGUGAAAACAUGCACUUCCUAUGUCUUCCCAGCUUUGUCCUUCUCCCAUCACAGAAUACUCCCCAACACACUACGUGUUAUUAGCUCGUUUAUUUCCCUCCACUUGCAUAUAAAUUCCACAAGGGCAGACAUCUUUGUCUUUUUGCUCACUGCUAUAUCCCAAGUGCCCAGAACAAUGCCUGGGACAGAGUAGACGCUCAAUGGCUGUUGUUGAAUAAAUAACGAAUGAACUACCCAGGGUAACCAUUGGUAAGUGAUGGAGACAGGAUUAAACCCAGGCAGUCUCACUUAAUGGGAAGUCUAUGCUCUUAACUACCCCUAACUGCCUUUGUUGCAAUAAAGCGCCAAUCUUUCAUGGGCAGAGGAUCACCCAAAACAAUCACUACAUUUGCCAGCCUCCGUUGCUGCUAGAUGUGCCCAUGUGACCAUGUUCUGGCCGAUGAAGUGUAAGCAGAAGAGGCACAGACAACUUCUGGGACCAUCUAUAAAGAGAAGGUGUGGUCGUCUGGGAUAAUGAGGUGACCUUGGGAAUGAAGGAUAAAGCGACAAGACAGGAGGACCUGGGAUCCCUGACACUGAGAGCUUUAGAAUAGGUAACUGGCCCGGCACGGUGGAUUACACUGUGGAUUACAUUCACGCCUGUAAUCCCAGCACUUUGGGAGGCCAAGGCAGGUGGAUCACUAGGUCAGGAGAUUGAGACCAUCCUGGCUAACACAGUGAAACCCCGUCUCUACUAAAAAUACAAAAAAUUAGCCGGGCGUAGUGGCUGGCGCCUGUAGUCCCAGCUACUCGGGAGGCUGAGGCAGGAGAAUGGCAUGAACCUGGGAGGCAGAGCUUGCAGUGAGUGAGAUCACGCCACUGCACUCCAGCCUGGGCGACAGAGCAAGACUCCGUCUCAAAAAAAAAAAAAAAAAAAAAAAAGAACCACUAUGGGUAACUAUCUCUUGACUUCUACAUAUUAGAUAAAUAAAUAUAUAGCUUUCAGCAAUCUUGGAAGCUAUCUUGCUUAAGCCACUGCUACCUGUGUUAUACUGUCUUUGGCCACCAAAUUUAAUCCUAAUUCAUUAUCUGAGUCUCAGUUUCCUCAUCUGUAAAACGGGAGUAAUAGCAGUACCUCUGCAGAGUUGCUGUGGAGAUUAAAUAAGAAAAUACAUGGACAUCACCUGGAAUAUAGAAGAUAUUCAGUAUAGAAGGUUAGAUAUAAAUAAGAAUAAGCAUAUUAGUUAUAUCUAAUAAGCAUCUUCUAUACUAAGAUAUCUUAGUAUAUAUAGUUAUCAUCACUACUUAGUAAAUAUACAAAGCUAUAACUUAGUAUAGUUAUAUAUAUCUUUUAUACUAAGAGGCUCAAUUCUACAUCACUUGAUUGCUAAACACUAAAAGUGCAAACCAAAGAGGCUUUAUAAACCCACCUUGAAGGAAAGGAACUAGAGCUAUAUUGGUUUCUACCAGUUUCCAUACUCAUUUCUACUAGAGAAACUAAGGCCCAGGUUUGCUCAUGUCACAGGGUCCUUUGGUGGCAGAGCCAAGACUUGUCUCUGUUCCCCAUGGCAGGAUAUGGGUGUGGAAGGUGUAAGUUCCCCUCACUCCUCCAGCAGUGCCCCUUCCCUGGCUGAAUGCUUGUCAGUGUCAGGACUGGAGCCUCUCUCCCUGCACAGGCUCUGCUACCACCUCCAUGGGAAAUGGCUCAGAGCAGGUGAAGGGGGCGAAGGGACCAGCCCCAGGGCCUGGAGACCGUGGACAGCUGCAGUGACACUACACUGCUGCUGGGAACCUCUGCAGCCUCUCAGAGACCCUGCGGUGUCCCCAGGCGUCCUGCUGGCCCAGCUCUUCUAUGCAGAGACUGCAGCAAAUGACAUGGCUUUGGCCCCAAGCCAUCUGGAAACAGAAUAAUUUGCUAGAGUAAAUGUAUUCCUGGACAGUUCCCCUCCUUUGGGGGUGGCAAGGACAGGGCAGCCUGGGAGGGGCUGGGGGCUGAGAGCUCCGGGAGGCUGACCAGCCCAGGCGGCCUCUGCAGCCUCAGACCACUUGGGAGGGGCUAGAGCCUUCUUCUUGCUGUCUCCCAACAAUGCUAGGAGGGGCUCAGAGAGCUGGUGGAGUCAGGGCUCAGCCUUCAGUCCCCCCAAAGACUCUGACCAUUGUCACUCGAAGUCUCUGUCAUUCUUACUACUUGCAGUUUCCCAGGACUUUUACAGAAAUCAACCUGUGGUGGAGGGAGGGCUCCUUUCACCGUGACUUUUGUGAGAACUGAGGUUUCUUCCUUUGCCUCUCCCCAGCCACCUGCACCUGCCGUGGCGUCAGUCCCUGGGAAGGUAUGGGGAGACCUGCCAAAGGUGCUCCGGUACCUGCCUGGGGAUAAUUCCUAACUGGUGGAGGCUGUGCUGAUGGGAGCAGGAAGACAUUGCUGGGAUGGUGGUCUCUCACCAGUGGAAACUGUCUCCAGAGGUACAGAGAGAGGAGAGUGAGCAGUUGGAGACCAGAGUGUCUCUCAGAGCAGGACAUGGAGGCCAGUAGGUGAUUGGGCAAGGCUGGUCACCUAUCCCAGGGGAAGCUAGAUCACUGGCUGGGUGAGAAAACAGAAGGGAGAAACAGAGAUGCUUGUGGCUACUCAGAGUGAAGCCUACAGGCCAUGUGGGGGCCGGGGAGUCAUCUUUGGCCUGUGGGCACAGAGGCAUAGCAGAUCUGCAGAAGGAGAAGGAAAGCCCACAGAGAGAGGCAGAGAUGAGAGACGAGGCAGCCAUGGAGAGGAGACUGCAGCUGCCUGGCUUCCUGACUCUCAUCCAGCUGUGCCCUAGGGCCCCAGGAGUCCUGCCUCACUUCCACCAUGGGCUCCAUAGUGCUCUUGGCAGACGAACUCUAGUGACCUCUCUCCUAAGAGCCACACAUCUUGGUGCUCAGGCUUUCGUAUAAUCCCCAACCCCCUUGAGUGUGGGUGGGAACUGUGACUUGCUUGUAACCAAUGGAACUUGGCAAAAGUGAUGGGCUGUCACCUCCACCAUCACGCUGUCUUUUAUGACUCCAUCUUGCCAGUGGGGUGACUCAAGAGUCUCUCCCCCUGGCUGUCUUUAAAGAAGCAAGUGGCCAGGUUGAGAGGCCCAUGUGUCCAGGAGCUGAGGGCAGCCUCCGGCUGAGAGCCGGCAAGAAGUCAAGGCCCUAAGUCCUGCAGACACAAGGAAGUAAAUUCUGCCAACAACGUGGGCAAGCUCAUGAGCAGAUUCCCCCAGUCAAGCGCCCUCCAGGUGAGAAGGCACCCCGGCCAGAACCUUGAUGGCAGCUUGCAAAACCCUAAGAGGAGGACCCAACUAAGUGAUGCCUGGACUCCUAACCCACAGAAACUGUGAGGUUACUAAUGUAUGUAAUCUAAAGCCUCUAAGCUUGUGGUAAUUUCUUACACAAUGGAAAACUCAUCUAGUGCUGGUUCUUAUCAGUGGCAUUUACAUAGGUAAGUUUCUGUGGUUUGCAACCGAAAGACUCUUGGCUAAGACAGAAACAGCAAGCCUGGGCUGGCAUCUUCCCAGAGGAGCGACCCCAGCCAGAGAGCACUGAUGGGGGCUUGAGCCAGCACGGCUGCCACCUGUGGGAGGCCUGGCCGAGAGGAGCAGCGGCUAGAGGGCUCCAACUCCCUGGAUGCAUUGGGAUCCCCAUGGAAACUCCCAGAAAUACUUGUGACAAACAAAACCUGGGUGAAUGCAUCAGCAGUAAACCAGAGCUACAAAAAAUAUAAAAGGAAGUCCUUCUGACAGAAGGAAAAUUCCAGAAGGAAGCCUGUUUCUGCACAAAGGAAUGAAGAAUAUUAGAAAUCAUAAGUAGGUGAGUAAACAUAAAGGGUUUUUCCCCUCAUUUUGAAUCCUUUUCAAGAAGACAAAUUCACAAUUAUAGUUGGAGAGUUUAACAUCCAAUGAUUGAUAGAACAAGUAGGACCUCUAAAAAUCAUUAAGGAUAUGAAAGACUUAAAAAGACUACCAAUCAACGGGACCCAAUUGAUAUUUUACAGAACACGCCACC